UUUAAUAGAUAAGAUGCGGAGAAUAUGGUAAUAACGUUGACAUUUUUUCAACAAAAAAAAACUAUAUUCUUUGAUAGCUCAUAUGACUUUUUCAGGUUACUGCAUGUGAUUAAAUUAAGAUUUGAACAAUAUAUUUACUUUGACCAAAUUUACAAAAUAACUUAAUUGGUCAAAUAUAUAAAUGAAUAUCCCAAAUUUGCAUGUAUCGAAUAGAAGAUCAAUUAAAAUCAAAUCAAAUAGAAAUGGAAAUUUGUGAUUUUCCACGACUAAAACUUAUAUAAAUAGAGCUUUUCUACAAGACAUGAAAAAUUAAGGAUAUUUCUCAUGCUAUAGAUAUUUUAUACAUAAGAAAGAUUAUGGCGAAGACACAAAAUUUGGUGAUUUUUUCUCUUGUUGUGAUAUUAGCAGCUACAAUAUUUAACACCAACAUUUUGGUUUCAGGUGUGGAGCAGGAGAAUAAAAUCAAGUAUACUUACUGCGCUAAGACUUUAUGCUCGGACAGCUACUUACCUCAUAUGUGCUUUUUUGAUUGUACUACUAAAGGGUUUGAAACCGGAACUUGUAUAGUUCCUACUCCUAAUACUCCCUUAAGAUGUUGUUGUGGUACCUUGUAGCCAUCAUCUACCUAAUAUAAUCUGCCUAAUAUAAUAAAAUGAUUUAAGAGCUUCGUU